rnacentral:rRNA from 1 species
CCUACGUGAGGCAGCAGUAGGGAAUCUUCCACAAUGGGCGAAAGCCUGAUGGAGCAACGCCGCGUGGGUGAAGAAGGUCUUCGGAUCGUCAAACCCUGUUGUUAGAGAAGAAAAUGCGUGAGAGUAACUGUUCACGUUUCGACGGUAUCUAACCAGAACGCCACGGCUAACUACGUGCCAGCAGCCGCGGUAAUGCGUAGGUGGCAAGCGUUAUCCGGAUUUAUUGGGCGUAAAGGGAACGCAGGCGGUCUUUUAAGUCUGAUGUGAAAGCCUUCGGCUUAACCGGAGUAGUGCAUUGGAUACUGGUAGACUUGAGUGCAGAUGUGGAGAGUGGAACGCCAUGUGUAGCGGUGAAAUGCGUAGAUAUAUGGCAGAACACCAGUGGCGAAGGCGGCUCUCUGGUCUGUAACUGACGCUGAGGUUCGAAAGCGUGGGUAGCAAACAGGAUUAGAUACCCGAGUAGUC